rnacentral:sRNA from 1 species
UGACUCCGUUUGAGCUUGUCGACUGCCA